GAUGGAGGGGAGCGGCAGACGGGAGAGUAACACGUGGGAACGUACCCUUUGGUUCGGAACAACCCAGGGAAACUUGGGCUAAUACCGAAUAAGCCCUUACGGGGAAAGAUUUAUCGCCGAAGGAUCGGCCCGCGUCUGAUUAGCUAGUUGGUGAGGUAACGGCUCACCAAGGCGACGAUCAGUAGCUGGUCUGAGAGGAUGAUCAGCCUCACUGGGACUGAGACACGGCCCAGACUCCUACGGGAGGCAGCAGUGGGGAAUAUUGGACAAUGGGCGCAAGCCUGAUCCAGCCAUGCCGCGUGGGUGAUGAAGGCCCUAGGG
rnacentral:rRNA from 1 species